UGGGGAAUUUUGGACAAUGGGCGAAAGCCUGAUCCAGCAAUGCCGCGUGCAGGAAGAAGGCCUUCGGGUUGUAAAGCACUUUCAGAGGGGAGGAGGACUAUUAGGUUAAGAGCUAGAUAGUUGGACGUUACCCUCAGAAGCAGCACCGGCUAACUCCGUGCCAGCAGCCGCGGUAAUACGGGGGGUGCAAGCGUUAAUCGGAAUUAUUGGGCGUAAAGCGGGUGUAGGCGGACUUAUAAGUCAGGUGUGAAAUCCCAGGGCUCAACCCUGGAAGUGCACUUGAUACUGCAAGUCUUGAGUGUGGUAGAGGCUAUUAGAAUUCCUGGUGUAGUGGUGAAAUACGUAGAUAUCAGGAGAAUACCGGAGGCGAAGGCGGAUAGCUGGGCCAACACUGACGCUGAGACCCGAAAGCGUGGGGAUCAAACAGGAUUAGAUACCCACGUAGUCCCUGAGCGGGCUGGCAAGGCGCAU
rnacentral:rRNA from 1 species